UUGUCAAAAUGUUAACUGAGGAAAGUCCGGGCUCUGGUUUCAAUAUGAAACUAUGUUAUAGAGUAAUUCUCUAUGUGUAACCAUUUAGCACGAGGCUAGUGCCACAGAAAACGAACCGCAAGUUUUAUCUUGUAAGGGUGCAAUGGUGUGGUAAGAGCACACCAGUUUAUUUGUAAGAAUAAAGCUUGGUAUACCCUAACACAGAGCAAACAAAAUUAAGCGAUUUUUUUGGUCGCU
rnacentral:ribozyme from 1 species